rnacentral:sRNA from 1 species
CGACUCGAGCGAAAGCGAGAGAACGUUGCCAACGGCAACGGCCCGAAGGGUGAGGAGCGAAGCGACGAAUAAUCCUUCCCCCACCACCA